CAAAAUAUAGCUAAAUAGAAAAGCAUCUCUUUUACACUGAGGAAUUGUCCGUGCAAAUCGGACUAUUUUGA
rnacentral:tRNA from 1 species